UACGGAGGGUGCAAGCGUUGUUCGGAAUCACUGGGCGUAAAGCGCGUGUAGGCGGCCUUCUUAGUCUGGUGUGAAAGCCCGGGGCUCACCCCCGGAAGUGCAUUGGAUACUGGAAGGCUGGAGUACCGGAGAGGAGGGUGGAAUUCCUGGUGUAGCGGUGAAAUGCGUAGAUAUCAGGAGGAACACCGGUGGCGAAGGCGGGUCUCUGGGCCGAUACUGACGCUGAGGAGCGAAAGCGUGGGGAGCGAACAGG
rnacentral:rRNA from 1 species